rnacentral:rRNA from 1 species
UGGGGAAUAUUGCACAAUGGGCGCAAGCCUGAUGCAGCAACGCCGCGUGAGGGACGACGGCCUUCGGGUUGUAAACCUCUUUUAGCAGGGAAGAAGCGAAAGUGACGGUACCUGCAGAAAAAGCGCCGGCUAACUACGUGCCAGCAGCCGCGGUAAUACGUAGGGCGCAAGCGUUAUCCGGAAUUAUUGGGCGUAAAGAGCUCGUAGGCGGUUUGUCACGUCUGCUGUGAAAUCCCGAGGCUCAACCUCGGGCCUGCAGUGGGUACGGGCAGACUAGAGUGCGGUAGGGGAGAUUGGAAUUCCUGGUGUAGCGGUGGAAUGCGCAGAUAUCAGGAGGAACACCGAUGGCGAAGGCAGAUCUCUGGGCCGUAACUGACGCUGAGGAGCGAAAGGGUGGGGAGCAAACAGG